rnacentral:lncRNA from 1 species
CACCUUUCCCGAGUGGCCUGUGAGGGUGUCUCCUCCUCCCUCGACCCUCAGCCUCCCUUGCCUUUUGGUCUGGCUCGCUCUCUUGGGCCAGAUGCACAACAAAUAACACAAAGCUUUGGAAGAGACUCCCUAAUUAGCUCAGGCUCUGGCCCAGAGGACUGCAUGGCUGUAUUUAACCACCUGGGAAGUGGCACUGGAAAGAUGCUGGCUCAGCGAUUUUGAACCUUAGAAAGCUGGAGCAAAGAAUACUGAAUGUUCUUUACUCAGAAGGAGCAGGUGUUUGAACUUCUCUGUAACCACAUUUUCCACCAUCCUUAAAUUCCUCUUACAUCUGAUCAAGAGAAGCAGUGAAGCAGAGCUGCAUAAAGGUGAGAACCAUGGCUCUGCUAUUAGUUGAAGUUGGGUAUUGGCUCUAAUUGGGCCCAUGGGGGCCACUUUCCAUGAACUUAGUUAUUGGAACAGCAGUGUUAUCCUGAGUAUUCUGUCCCCUGCCAUCUGCUACCAAAGGAUGUGUGCUUUGUUCUAGUAUUGGAUGAGGGAUAUUUGGACUCAGCCAGCUGAAUGUGGUAGGAAAUAUGCAUGUUGAAAGAGUCAGGUGAUAGAGUGGCUUGGUGUGGGGAUAGUAGUGAUUUGAGUUAGAGCAGAUGUCUAGGAAAAUCUAAUAAGUCGACUUCGACUAAUAAGUCGAAGUAAUUUUAGUUUAAAUCAUGCUAUUAAACAUAGAUUUUUAGUCAUGGACAAUAUUUUAAAAAUGAGUUACAAAGUCUUCUGCACGGCCUGUAGGAUCUGACCCCAUGUACCUCUCCUAUCUCCUC